GGAGUGUAGCUCAGUGGUAGAGUGUCCACCUUGCAUGCAUGCAGAAGGUCCCAGAUUCAAUACCUGGCAACUCCA